rnacentral:rRNA from 1 species
GAUGAACGCUGGCGGCGUGCCUAAUACAUGCAAGUCGAGCGAAGCGGGGACGGGUGAGUACCACGUGGCUACCCUCCUAUACGGCUGGGAUAACUUCGGGAAACCGGAGCUCAAACGGAUACUUAUAGCGGGAUACGCGCUGCAUUAGCUAGUUGGUAGGGUAACGGCCUACCAAGGCCAGGAUGCAUAGCCGACCUGAGAGGUUGAUGGGCCACACCGGGACUGAGGCGCGGUCCAGACUCCUACGGGAGGCAGCAGUAGGGGAGCUUCCGCAAUGGGCGAAAGCCUGACGGAGCAACACCGCGUGAGUGAUGAAGGUCUUCGGAUCGUAAAACUCUGUUAUUGGGGAAGCGGUACCUAAUCAGAAAGCCACGGCUAACUACGUGCCAGCAGCCGCGGUAAUAC